GACGAACGCUGGCGGCGUGCUUAACACAUGCAAGUCGAACGGACAGACAGAGAGCUUGCUCUCUUGGAGUUAGUGGCGAACGGGUGAGUAACGCGUAAUCAACCUGCCCUUCAGAGGGGGAUAACAACGGGAAACCGUUGCUAAUACCGCGUACGAUUCAUGAACGGCAUCGUUUAUGAAUGAAAGGUGGCCUCUAUGUAUAAGCUAUCGCUGAAGGAGGGGAUGGCGUCUGAUUAGCUAGUUGGAGGGGUAACGGCCCACCAAGGCAAUGAUCAGUAGCCGGUCUGAGAGGAUGAACGGCCACAUUGGGACUGAGACACGGCCCAAACUCCUACGGGAGGCAGCAGUGGGGAAUCUUCCGCAAUGGACGAAAGUCUGACGGAGCAACGCCGCGUGAGUGAUGAAGGUCUUCGGAUUGUAAAGCUCUGUUAAUCGGGACGAAAGAGUUCUGCGUGAACAAUGCAGAAAAGUGACGGUACCGGAAUAGAAAGCCACGGCUAACUACGUGCCAGCCGCCGCAGUAA
rnacentral:rRNA from 1 species